rnacentral:lncRNA from 1 species
GGGCUCCGCUGGGGUGGGUGUCCAGCUCUGUAGGAGGAACGCGGUGGGAGGAAGGCUUGCGGGCGUGCGGACUCGGCUUCGGGCCGAGAGCUUUGAAGAAUUUUGCAGAACCCUGCUACCUACAGACUCUGCCAUGGACAUCAUGUAAAGAAACCCCGGAUGUAGUAGCGGACAAAACAUGAGUCAGUUUGUGUUGUGGCAUUCAGAUCCUAACACACUGGGAGAGAAGUGAUUCUGAAUGGAGAAGACGUAGGACCGGUCAGUGGUAGGAUGGACUGUGCUUGGAAGACAGGCACCCGGAGCUCUCAGUUUGGACUAGGCUGGCUGGCCAGCAAGCCCCCAGGAUCCUCCUGUUCGCGCUCUUGAAGCAUCAAGUCCCAAGAUUGUGAAGACCACGGCCCAUCCUUAUGCAUUCAGGAGUUGAGUGUGGAUGACUUCGAGCUGAAAAGCCUCUUCAGAAGCUUCAUGUGUCGCGUGCAUUGAAGCUCUGCAUUAAACCCGCUCACACAAGUAAAUGCUCAAAGGGACGGAAGGCCAUUAAUACAGUUUUUAUGUCUCUUUCUUCUACUUCAGUUUCUUUAGCCAUCAGGGUCCUUAAUGUUUCUUAUCUUACUGUAGUAAAGAAUCAGAGAAAGACUGCUUUCCAUGAAGGGUUAUGUUUUGUGGCCACACGGCUUUAUUAGUGGACAUGGGCAUUUUCACUUGAGUCUUUUGUUACAGCCUAUUAAAAAUUUUAUUCAGUAAUGUGAAAGUGAGGAUUAAAUAUCAAAAAAUUACAAUAUUAGAGAAGUAUGUGUUUAACAUGUGCAAAGCCCCAGGUCCAGUCUGCUACAUUUUGUGGGGUGGUUAGGGGGGUGUAGAUGUGCAAAGCCCCAGGUCCAGUCUGCUGCAUUUUGUGGGGUGGUUAGGGUGUGUGUGAUGUGGUAGAAGUGACUCAGAAGCUGAGGUCUUAAGUGUUAGCAGUUGUAUGUGUUAAUGGCUCUCAGCCUACCACUGCCUCUUACUAGCUAUGUGACUGGGAAAGUCAGGUCUUCUGAGUCUUCGUUGAGCUGACCAACAGCUGUUUAAAUGAAAGAAUGUAGGGUUAUUCACAGUGUGUCUACAUAGUAAGAGUAACAUUGUUUCCAUUUUUAAAUGUAACAGUGUGAGCAGUUGGUAAUUAAGUCAAAGUUUUCUUUUUCUUGUGUGUUGCUGUCACAAUUUUCAAAGUAUAAUUUUAGCUCUAGUGCAUUUCUGCCCAUUUUAAUCCCUGGAGAUUCAUCAUUUCAUUCCCUUCAUACCUGUGAGGAAGGAGUUAGUAUUAAUAUCAAUGACAUCUGGUUUAAUUGAAAUAUUUUGUGUUUCAUAAAAAGAUAGAAAGCCAAGUAGCCUAUGCUACUGUUUAUCCUGGUACUUAGAACACCUAACAAUUGUUCUACUUCAACUUAUUAGAAAAAUUAUGCUAAAUGUUUUAUUUAGGUAUUUUAUUUUGAUGUGUGUAACUGUGUGUGUGUGUAUGGAUGUAUGUAUAAGAGAGUGAGUGUGUGAAUGAGCCUGUGUAUGAGUGAGCGUGCUUGAGUAUGUGUUGUGUGUGUGUGUGAUUACUCCUCAUGUACCAUCUGUCUUUUUUGUUUGUUUGUUUGACAUAGAGUCUCUCAUUGGUCUGGAACUGGCCAGUGGCCAAGUAGACCAGGCUGGCUGGCCAGUGAGCCUCAGAGAUCUGCCUGUUUCUACCUCCCCAGCUCUGAGAUUAUAAACCCACACCUAGAUGUCAGAUUCUCAUUCUUGCAAAACACUUUACUGACUAAGCUAGCUUUUUAGCUCCCUGUGUGUUUCUGUUUUGUUUUGUCUUUCAAGACUUAGGAGUUUGGUCUUCUCUAAAGGAGAAAAUGCCAGUUUUCCCCCUUCUCUUAGUAACUGAGUUUAUCUUUAGGUUAAUGAUUUAAGGUGAAUGUCACUGUAAUUUGCUUGUUCAGUUGUUUCUUUGAGGACAUCAUUGGUUGCCAGUAGGUGACGCUAUAGUACUCCUAAGUAAGGAGUGCUUUCUUCCAGAAGGUAUACAUUCUGAUUCAUGGUGAGGGAAUGUUUUUUAUCUUAGUGUGUGUAUAUAUAUAUAUAUGUGUGUGUGUUGUAUGCGUGCUGGUGCACUUCGAGACCCAGCUUUAUGUGGGUGUUGGGAAUCUGAACUCAGGUCUUUGCGCUUAUAUAGCAAUCACUGUACUGACCCAUCUCUGCACCCUGUUUCUUUACUGCACUGAAAUGCUUUACUUGGUGCCUUGGAACUGUUUAAAUUUAACAGAAGGUUAUACAAAGUGUUGAUUUUUCUUCUUAUACAAAUUACAUAAAUGCAUAUAAUCCCAGUGAUGUAAAUAUUUGUCAAGAAAUGCAAAAUGUGGACAGAAGCUACGUGUCGCCUAAUCAUGACCAAGCUUCUUGCGUUGGUGGAGACAGAACAAAUUGCAUAGACUUUGAGAAUUGAGCCUGUCAGAAACAAGACAGUUGGCCUCUGAUGGAGAAGCAUUUUACUGCCGGUGACUGACCUUUUCUUCGUCCUUGACCCCUCCCCUGAACCCAGAACUCCUCACAUUGACCUUUAUGACUUUGCCUGUAGAAAUACUAGCAACCUGUGAAAAAGGCCAAGAGACACUAAUUGGAUAUCUGGCUGUCCUUGGUCUGCAUGCCCUACCCUUAUGAAUCUAGUAUCUGCCACUGGCCUUCCUUUUCUACCUUCUAAAUACCUUUAAACUCCCUCUUUCAGGUCUACCCUGUACCUUACUCUGUUGUUGGAUUUCUUGAGCCUCUGUAAAAGCCCCUCCAUGGGUUCUCUAUAUUUUCUCUUCCCUCCCUUCUCUCAUCUCGCUGCAUUCAGGGGAAUCUUCUUUUUGGUCCUCUGGUUUAAGUUCUUGAUGUUUUAUUGCCUCAGUCCAUUAAGCAGCAGCAGCAGUGUUCCCCUAUUCCACUUUGUCCCCUUGUGUCUCUGAUGGUUUUAAUGGGAAGGGACCCUCAUAGGCACUGUUUAGGACAUGUAGUCUUGCUGGAGGAAGUGUGUCACUGGGGGAAGCACUUGAGAGCUUAGGGCUCCGUCCUGCUUCUGGUUUGCUCUCAGCUUGGACUGUGGUUGAGAUGAGAGAUGCUAGCUUCUUUUUUCCUGCCUCUGCUGCCAUGCCCUUCCGUAAUGGACUCAGCCCUUUGGAAAUGUAAGCUCAAAUAAACUCUUUCUUGUUU